ensembl:snoRNA SNORA70 Small nucleolar RNA SNORA70
CUGCAGCCAAUUAAGCCAAACGUCCUCUUCCCGGGGAGGCCGGUGUUCAGUGGCUGCAAAGAGCAGCCUCCUCAGCAGCGUAUGCAGUCUGUUGGCAAGUGUCGGUUGCCCGAUGGGAUGUUGGAGACAGCC